rnacentral:lncRNA from 1 species
CUGAAGGGUGAAGUGGACAACAAAGGAUUCUUCAGGGAAAAGAGAAUGAAGUUUGGGGACUUCAAGAAUUCUGUUUGAAGGAUUUACAGUCAGUGUGACUUAAAAUCUCUUCCUAUCUGUAAAUUGUGUGAAAUGACUGGUGUCAAGCCAGCAGGAGACAAGUGCCUCUGUGCCACCAGAUACUGGCUUGGCCAUUGUCACUAACAGGCAGUCUUAUAGAGGUCCGGCACCUAGCAGACCUAGCCGGGCCUGUGGCCUGUGCAGGCAGUCUCUUUCCUGGAGAGGACCCCUGAAACCUUGGGGAAAACUGGACUAAAUACCUGUGGUGGGGUGGGAAGGACAGCUUCCAAGCCAGGGCUCAGUUCCUUCUAGAAACACAUUCCCCCACACACCUGGCAUUGCUGAUGAGAAAGGCCACUGCCCCAGAGGGUGAGGCGUGCAGGAUGAGAGGUGGUUAAAAACGAGGCAGAAAAGAGAAUCAAGAUUAUACCAAAGUCAGGCUACCAUCUUGUACUUUUAUAUGUCUAUGAAACCAUUUUACACAAAGAGCAUUCUCCCUUGGGUAAAACGACACCCUUGCAAAAUGGCACAACAUGAAAUGAGG